rnacentral:rRNA from 1 species
GAUGGAUCUGAUCCGCCAUGCCGCGUGCAGGAAGACGGCCCUAUGGGUUGUAAACUGCUUUUGUAUGGGAGCAAUAAGAUCUACGUGUAGAUUGAUGAGAGUACCAUACGAAUAAGCACCGGCUAACUCCGUGCCAGCAGCCGCGGUAAUACGGAGGGUGCAAGCGUUAUCCGGAUUUAUUGGGUUUAAAGGGUGCGUAGGCGGUUUGAUAAGUCAGCGGUGAAAUAUUUCAGCUUAACUGGAAGGGUGCCGUUGAUACUGUCGAGCUUGAAUUUAGUUGCUGUGGGUGGAAUGUGUGGUGUAGCGGUGAAAUGCAUAGAUAUCACACAGAAUAUCGAUUGCGAAGGCAGCUCACAAAGCUAAUAUUGACGCUGAUGCACGAAAGUGUGGGGAUCAAACAGGAUUAGAUACCCUGGUAGUCCACACUGUAAACGAUGAUAACUCGCUGUCGGCGAUACACAGUCGGUGGCCAAGCGAAAGCGAUAAGUUAUCCACCUGGGGAGUACGACCGCAAGGUUGAAACUCAAAUGAAU